AAUAUUGAAAGAGGAUGCGAAAAAAAUCAGUAGGUUUCGAAAGGGUUUUUCGCCGAAAUGCAGCUUAGCUGUGUUGGGGUCCGUUUGAAUAAGACGGGAACUGCCUGAUAGUCUUGCCCAAAGACUAUUAAGGAGUGCUGUCAUUGUU
rnacentral:ncRNA from 2 species